ACAAAGACUUAGAAGAGGAAGAGUAGGAGCGUAUCGUUUUAAGAGAGCUGCCGGAUGGUGCGAGGCAGCAGCGUAAGUUCUGAACUGGCCUUUGAGUUCUCUUGUUGAAAAGAAGUCCGUGCUUUGUAUUUGAAAGAAGGGCGGAGGGUAUGAGUAGAUGAGAGCGGGAAUCCCCGUUACAGGAUCAAUGAGUGCAUCUGUCCCGGACAGGUGAAGAAGAGUGGUACCACGGAAAUGAAGCCUUUUCGUCUCUUAG
rnacentral:ncRNA from 1 species